UACGUAGGGUGCAAGCGUUAAUCGGAAUUACUGGGCGUAAAGCGCACGUAGGCGGAUCGUUAAGUCAGGGGUGAAAGCCCGGGGCUCAACUCCGGAAUUGCCUUUAAGACUGCAUCGCUAGAAUUGUGGAGAGGUAAGUGGAAUUCCGAGUGUAGAGGUGAAAUUCGUAGAUAUUCGGAAGAACACCAGUGGCGAAGGCGACUUACUGGACACAUAUUGACGCUGAGGUGCGAAAGCGUGGGGAGCAAACAGG
rnacentral:rRNA from 1 species